GAUGAACGCUGGCGGCGUGCUUAACACAUGCAAGUCGAACGGUGAAGCCAAGCUUGCUUGGUGGAUCAGUGGCGAACGCGGGUGUAUCACGCGAGCAAACUGUCCUGGUCUCUGGGGUAAGCGCUGGAAACGGCGGCUAAUACUGGAUAUGAGCCUACUCCGCACGGGGGGGGUUGGAGAGAUUUUUUGGUCUGGGAUGGGCUCGCGGCCUAUCAGCUUGUUGGUGGGGUAAUGGCUCACCAAGGCGUCGACGGGUAGCCGGCCUGAGAGGGUGACCGGCCACACUGGGACUGAGACACGGCCCAGACUCCUACGGGAGGCAGCAGUGGGGAAUAUUGCACAAUGGGCGAAAGCCUGAUGCAGCAACGCCGCGUGAGGGAUGACGGCCUUCGGGUUGUAAACCUCUUUUGCCUGGGAAGAAGCGAGAGUGACGGUACCGGCAGAAAAAGCGCCGGCUAACUACGUG
rnacentral:rRNA from 1 species